GAAGGGUGCAAGCGUUACUCGGAAUUACUGGGCGUAAAGCGUGCGUAGGUGGUGGUUUAAGUCUGCUGUGAAAGCCCUGGGCUCAACCUGGGAAUUGCAGUGGAUACUGGGUCACUAGAGUGUGGUAGAGGGAUGCGGAAUUUCCGGUGUAGCAGUGAAAUGCGUAGAGAUCGGAAGGAACAUCCGUGGCGAAGGCGGCAUCCUGGGCCAACACUGACACUGAGGCACGAAAGCGUGGGGGGGAGCAAACAGGAUUAGAUACCCUGGUAGUCCACGCCCUAAACGAUGCGAACUGGAUGUUGGGUGCAACUUGGCACCCAGUAUCGAAGCUAACGCGUUAAGUUCGCCGCCUGGGGAGUACGGUCGCAAGACUG
rnacentral:rRNA from 1 species